GCCAGUGUAGUUUAGUUAGUAGGAUGUUGGGCUGGGAACUGAGAGACCCAGGUUCAAAUUCCCACUCUGACAUGGAGGCU
rnacentral:tRNA from 1 species